rnacentral:rRNA from 1 species
GAUGAACGCUAGCUACAGGCUUAACACAUGCAAGUCGAGGGGAAACGAUAUUGGAAGCUUGCUUCCUAUAGGCGUCGACCGGCGCACGGGUGAGUAACGCGUAUCCAACCUGCCCACCACUUGGGGAUAACCUUUCGAAAGUAAGACUAAUACCCAAUGACGUCCAUAGAAGACAUCUGAAAUGGAUUAAAGAUUUAUCGGUGAUGGAUGGGGAUGCGUCUGAUUAGCUUGUUGGCGGGGUAACGGCCCACCAAGGCGACGAUCAGUAGGGGUUCUGAGAGGAAGGUCCCCCACAUUGAAACUGAGACACGGUCCAAACUCCUACGGGAGGCAGCAGUGAGGAAUAUUGGUCAAUGGGCGAGAGCCUGAACCAGCCAAGUAGCGUGCAGGAUGACGGCCCUAUGGGUUGUAAACUGCUUUUAUAAGGGAAUAAAGUGAGUCUCGUGAGACUUUUUGCAUGUACCUUAUGAAUAAGGACCGGCUAAUUCCGUGCCAGCCGCCGCAGUAA